rnacentral:tmRNA from 1 species
GGGGCCGAUUUAGUGCUAGACAGAAGGAAUUUAGCAGAUUGGUUGGCAAGUCGUUUGCGACGUAAAGCAUUGAAUAAUUGCAAAAUCUAAUUUUGUAGCGAAAGUUAAAGAGUUCUUUGCAACUCCUGCUUUUGCGCCAAUUGCCGCUUAAUUUAUUGGCAAUCAUCGUUCUAGUCUUGGCAGUGCGAGGCUAGUCGGUGUUAUAUUUUUACACUGAUAGUUUUGAGUUUAAGCAAAGAACUCCAAAUGAAAUUUUAUUUGCAACUUAUGUUUCGAUUUUUGUUUUUCUUUAACGAAAUAUAAGUAUUUAAGAAAAACUAAACUUGUAGAAAAUCAAUAGGCUACCUUUUGGACCCGAGGGCAGUUCUCGGCGGCUCCACCA